rnacentral:tRNA from 1 species
GCACUAGUGGUUUAAUGGUAGAAUUCUCAUCCUCCAUGUGGGAGACCUUGGUUUGAUUCCUGACCAGUGCA